rnacentral:rRNA from 1 species
AUUGAACGCUGGCGGCAUGCCUUACACACGCAAGUCGAACGGCAGCACGGGGGCGAACCCUGGUGGCGAGUGGCGAACGGGUGAGUAAUACAUCGGAACGUGUCCUGUCGUGGGGGAUAACCAGUCGAAAGACUGGCUAAUACCGCAUGAGAUCGAGAGAUGAAAGCAGGGGACCGCAAGGCCUUGCGCGAUUGGAGCGGCCGAUGUCGGAUUAGCUAGUUGGCGGGGUAAAAGGACCCACCAAGGCGACGAUCCGUAGCUGGUUUGUAGAGAACGACCACGCCACACUGGGACGUGAGACACGGCCCACGACUCCUACGGGAGGCAGCAGUGGGGAAGUUUUGGUACGAAUGGGGGCGAACCCUCGAUCCAGCCACUGCCGCGUGUGU